ACAUUCGGUUCGUGUAUGACUGAAUCCGUGAAAUGCAUUGCUGUGCUGGAUGUCGGGGCUGCCAGGAGGAAGGAGACCUCUUCCCCGUGGAGCACACCAGUGAAUCGAGGCCCACCCGGAAGGAGCUCGUGGCGCGUGGUUGCAGAGAAGAGAUUUUUGAUGGGACGGCCUAGAUCUGACAUCGGCCUGAAGAGUGAGUGGAGGAUACAGAAGACGGCUGCGUGAACCUUGUUGCCACUGUAAACUCUUUCGGUGGCCUUCUCUGUACUCUGCAGAGCAUACUUCUUUUCCUACCUUUAGCACCUUUAGUAAAUGUAAAACCUUUCUACCUAUCGUGCAUUUCUUGUCCAAUUCUUCGUUCAGGACGAGAAGAACCUGGGAAGGGUGCCCAGGAAGAACAGGCACGCCAGGCCGUGCUAACGCUGCCACAUGUAACUACUCACAGUGGGAGGGUGCUUCGCCGAGCAGGCGACAGGGGACACGUUUGGACUUGGGACAGGACUACAGUGCUUUCCCUAAGAAUCCCCGGCAAUGCGCGGGACAGGGCAAACCUGGGAAGCCAAAGCAGGAGAAGCGGAAGACCGGACAGGGCAGGGCUGCUGGCGGAGGUCAGGAAGAGGUAGGCGAGGAACUCCAGGACGCCUGGCCCAGCCGAGUGGCUCCAGCAGAGCAGAAGUCGCUGUGGACUCCUGUAUGGAGGCUACCAGAGGCCAGCCAGCCAGCGUCUCAGCCGCGUGAGGGAGAGAGGAGCGUUCCUGCUUCAUCUGAGCAGGGCCCCGGCCCAGGUCUACCAGGUCGCACAUGGCGGACAGCAGACCGAAAUUCCCGGAGAAGGCGCUCGCAAGGUUGAGAUCAAGUUGUGGGCCGUGUCCAUCUAGACCGCGAUGCUGGGAGACUGCUCCGACAGCUGGAGGACUGAAGUCCCGCCUCCUUGCCAGCUGUUCCUCCGAGGCUGCUCUCAGCCCCUCCGGCAUCUGCAUUCCUUCUGUGUGGCCCCUCCAUCUUCAAAGACAGCUACAAAGAACCUGCCUGGUGUCAAAUCCCUGUCGUCCUUCAAGCCACCCGAGCCAUCUGUUAGCUUCCACUAUCAGAUGGGCCCGAGGGGCCCACUGUGAAUAACAAAGACAGUCCUGUCGCUUAGGAGAUUCCAGGAUUCAGUUAUCUCCCCGGAAUGGGCCAAAGGCCAGUCAAAUUCCCUUCCCUCCUUCCCUCCUUCCCUCCUUCCCUUCUCCCUCCUCCCUUCCUCCUUUCCUCCCUCGUUCCCUCCCUCCAUCUUUCCCUUCCUCUUCCUCCACAACCAUGGCUGUUGUCACAUCCAAAAAAACUAAAACGAUUCUUUAUUUUCAUCAAAUAGCCAAUAUGUUGUAAUUGUCCCAUUAUCUCAUUAAAAAAUAGUUGAUUUCAGCAAAUCAGUGUCCUCACAAAGCUUCACAUAUUGUACUUGGCUGAUAUAUAUGCUAAGGUUCUUGUAGUUUAUAGGCAGAUUCGCCCUCUUUUUAUUUUUUGCUUACAAUUUAUUUGUAGAAGAAAAUGAGUCAUUUGUUCUAUAGAGUCUACCACAUUCUAGAUUUUGCAUAAAUUAUAUAACUAUAAAAUCCACCCAGAUACUGUUUACACUUAACAUAUUGUAAUUAAUUUAGCUAGAACGGAGAGUUCCGACAUACCUUGUAGAAAUGUCAUAGGCACAACUCAAAAGACCCUUGUGAAGCACUUAGUGAGCACCUUGGUGAUGUGGAAAAUUCUAGAAUAUCUAUUCUAGUCCACCCUUGAUCCAGGCCUCAAGACCAUCAUGUGUUACCUUAAAUUAACUCCAGGAGGACCCCAGGACUCCAUACAGGUCUGUGACUACGGUGUUGCUCAAAGCCACCACGCCCGGCUCCAACAAACAAACAAAUUGAAAAAGAAGUAAAAGAAGAAGGUUUGACCAACCAGGACUUUGGAGCUCUGGGGUCCACUUGUACGAACUCCAGAAAAAUAAAACUAGAACUCUGGCUGGGUUGGAAAUCUGGUUUUUGAGACCCAGAUGAUCUUCAAGCCAGGAUGUCACAGAUUUACAGAACGUAACUAUAAAAAAAAGUUCAAAUAAAUAAAAUUGGCUCUAUCUCAAAAACUAUGUCUUUUUACAAAGGUCUUAGAAAAGUGCUUCGAACCCUGAAAAUGGAUACGAGUCAUUUAUUCUGCUCCACCAUAAAUGCACUGGAAUUAUGUCUUCCUAUAAUCUGACAGGCCAUGAACAGCCCCAUUCUAUCCAGUGCAUUUGCCGGGAAUGCUGAAAACUGAGCCCAAAAUAAGGGCCUUUAAAAACCCUAUCACAAUUCCCUGGCAAUGGAUGCAUCUCCGAUCUUGUCUCUAAAACAGCGUCAUUUUCAUGUUCAGCGGGGAGAUUGUACCCCACCAUGAGUGUGCAUUAGAUGUUCUUAGUAUAUUCUCAGAGGGACGAGGCUAGGUCUCCCCAGUUGGGCUGCAGUCCAGGUUUUCGUCCUGUUGAACACAGUCUGAGGCUGGGCCGAAUACCGCAGCCACUCCAAGGACCCAUUCGUGGCUAGGAGGAGCCUUUGGCCUAGGGGAGCCCAGGAGGUUCCCUGACCUAAAUGACAAGGUGUUUGGCAGAUUUAAAAUGUACAAAGUGCUCUGCCACAGUGUGGGAACUCGGAAACACACAUGCUUCCAUAGGCCAACCAGAAGUCUCUCCAUCCUGAGAUCUGUCCCUCCACCAGCUGUCCGAUGACUUAGCUGCGAAGCCCAGAGCGUCUCAGAAAGAACCAGUUCAGUUCCUUCUCUAAAGCCAUCUGCCAAUUCCACCCCAAGAGAAUCUCUUUCAUCAUUCCUGUCACAGAAGGGUCCAGCAGCUGCCUCAGGUCCCAAUCUGUCAGAAAGACCACGGCAGUGGCUGCCGGAAACAAACUCGUCAGAAGCAGAGCAGAAGGCUGAGAGCGAAGGGUGGGGAGGUGCUCCCCAAGUCCCACAGGCGUGUGCACCGAGCCUUUGUUUUUGCUGGGUCUCUCUUUCUGUGAAAUUUCACAAACAUCUCUUUAUCAUUCAGCGCCUGGGGGACAUUUCUUAUUCUCCUUAGUAGCACCGCGCAGUCAAGCAGCUUUGGAAAACCCGCGUUGUGGUCUGGCCCUUUUCCUGGCUGAAACUCCUGUGCUUUCUUUUUUUUGUCUUUUUGAGACAGGGUCUCGCUAUUCAGUUCAGGCUGGCCUUGAGCUCACUUUGUAGCCCAGGCUGGUCUCGAACUCACAACGAUCCUCCUGCCUCAGCCUCCCAAGUGCUGGGAUUACAGGUGUGCGCCACCACGCCCGGCGUCCUCUGCUUUCUUCUUUGUCUUCUCAUCACCUUCUUUCACUCUCU
rnacentral:lncRNA from 1 species